rnacentral:misc_RNA from 1 species
GAAAGUAUGGAAGUCACUUUCUUUUUGCGCUAUCUUUUCAACUGUAAAUUACUAGUAACUACCAAUAAGCUCUGGAUUUUUUUUUCUCCCCCCUAUUUUGGGUCGUUCAAACGUGCAAGUCCAGAGUCCUGAAGAUGACUUGAGCUUCCUUCAGACAAAACUUAGUCUAAUAGGCACUGGAUCUUUUUUAAUUAUUACAGGAAAA